AAAAGUUUGAGCAUUCAGUUUUUUUUAAUCCUUUUGUUAUGUUUAGCUUAGCUUAGUUGUAUUUGAUAUUCAGCUCAAGAAGAAGAUCACUGCGGCAGCUUCAGCCUUUACGUCUGUCUUUGGUAAAAAGGAGAUACAACAACAAAGACCUUCCAACGAGUUGGACCAACUGAAAGAGAGAAUGGAGAAAGUUCUAAAUGUUUUCAGUGAAGUGGACACUACUGAGUUUGUCAUUGUCAUGGUAAUAAACUGAGUCUUCGGGGUUACAUGCAUCUUUAAGAAAAGAAAGUGUGCCAGUUCACAAGUUUAUUGUUAAACAGCUUCUCCCUCAUUUUGAAUUCGAUUGUAAAUUUUGCUCAGUGGAACGAAAGGAACAAACGCGUGUGCUCAGACUUAUUCAGGACGAUACGAAGCAUUUGACUAG